ACGAACGCUGGCGGCAUGCCUAACACAUGCAAGUCGAACGCGUGUAGCAAUACACGAGUGGCGGACGGGUGAGUAACGCGUGGGAACCUGCCCAGUGGUAGGGAAUAACUGCGGGAAACUGCAGCUAAUACCCUAUACGCCCUUUGGGGGAAAGAUUCAUCGCCAUUGGAGGGGCCCGCGUCGGAUUAGCUAGUUGGCGGGGUAAUGGCCCACCAAGGCAACGAUCCGUAGCUGGUCUGAGAGGAUGAUCAGCCACACUGGGACUGAGAUACGGCCCAGACUCCUACGGGAGGCAGCAGUGGGGAAUAUUGGACAAUGGGGGAAACCCUGAUCCAGCAAUGCCGCGUGAGUGAAGAAGGCCUUCGGGUUGUAAAGCUCUUUCGGCGGGGACGAUGGUGACGGUACUCGCAGAAGAAGCCCCGGCUAACUUCGUGCCAGCAGCCGCGGUAAU
rnacentral:rRNA from 1 species